GAUGAAGAACGUAGCGAAAUGCGAUAAGUAGUGUGAAUUGCAGAAUUCAGUGAAUCAUCGAAUCUUUGAACGCACAUUGCGCCCCUUGGUAUCCCGAGGGGCAUGCCUGUUCGAGCGUCAUUUCACCACUCAAGCCUGGCUUGGUGUUGGGCGACGUCCUCUUUGGGGACGCGCCUCGAAACGCUCGGCGGCGUGGCACCGGCUUUAAGCGUAGCAGAAUCUUUCGCUUUGGAAGUCGGGGCCCCGUCUGCCGGAAGACCUGCUCGCAAGGUUGACCUCGGAUCAGGCAGGGAUACCCGCUGAACUUAAGCAUAUCAAUAAGCGGAGUA
rnacentral:misc_RNA from 1 species